AGCCGUAGACGCAACACUUUUUUUUGCAAAAACCCUCCUCACGGCCUGCAUUUACUCCCCAUCCGUCGACUCGUUCAUCUACUGCUGCGUCCCGUGCUCCUAGGCGAAACGACGAGGAAGCCGGCCAUUGUACGACGCGAUCCGCUGCGCCGUAGGCUUGACCUGAACCAGCGCCCCUUCUCCAUCGUGCACCGUCACAAUCUGCUCGCCUAUUUUGUGCAGACCACCGGUGCCUUCUCCGUUAAGAGAUUCCGGCCACCAUGAUGCAUCCCCGACACAAAUAAGAGAUAAAACGGAACUCCCUCGCCGUUCUCUUCCCCCCCCCCCAAAUUUCAAGCUCUCUCAUGCCCUAAAUCAUCGGUAAUUUGAUUAACAGUGAGCUUCUGCCGGCCAGCCAUGGAGCAGACCACCAUCGCCUUCUUUCCCCACAAGAUUCCGGCCACCAUGAUACAUCCCCAACGCAAGUAAAAGCUAUGGAGGAGACCACCAUCGCCUUCUUUCCCGCGAGAUUCCAGCCACCAUGAUACAUCCCCAGAGCAAGUAAGACGGAACUCUCUUGUCGUCCUCUUUCUUUUUCCCAAAAUUUCAAGCCACCGCGAGAUUUGUUGGUAAGAAGCCUGACAUCCUCGGAUGGAUUUUCUUUUUCGCCUUGGGAACCUUUGGAAUUAUUAUAGUUGUACAAUGAUACAUUAGAGCUUAUGUCUGCAAAUAUUAAAACUUGCAUUGAGAGAAGAUGAUGGCGUACAACUUUGAUA